UACUUUACAGUUACUCGAGCAAGUCCUUCUGUAAUCUCUGUACAGUCCCCUCCACUGUAAAUUAGUUAUCGCACUACAUUUCAUAUGGAAGGCGCAGUUAUUGAUACGAUAUCUCAAUGGAUUGCCUUUUUCAAAUGUUCCUAUAAAGAUAUUAACAUUUAUUAGUUGAAUGAUGAACAUAUCAAUAAAUAAUCAGUACCAUAUAAGCGCUCAA
rnacentral:lncRNA from 1 species